AUCGGGGGUGAGAGGAGAAUGGGAAUGGUCAGGUCACCAAGAUAAAUGGAGGAGCGGAAAGGUUAGAUCAAAUCCAGCCAAGCAAUCCCGAUAUCCUCAACCUCCCCCUCCAUUGGACCAGAAGCGCACGGCCAAGACCCGCCGCAACAACAACGCCAGGCACCAAACAAAAAAACCAAUCACUCCAGAAAGUUACGCAGAAAGAAAAGAGGAGGAGAAAAAAACCACCUCCUCUGGCUCGUGCGCGUGCGCCUGCGCUCACUCCAGUCCGAGGCGAGAAAAGAAAAAUCGCCUGACCCAAUCCAAUCCAGCGCAGCGCCACUGUUCCCGGGAUUCUCGAGAGGCUGAGCUACCCGGUUCUUGGCUGACUACAUGGUUUCUUCGGCGUGUUCUUGAUCCGAGGAGUGGGAGGCGGGGUUUUCUUUCUUGGAUAGGAGGUGGUGGUUCUUGGACAGGAGGGGAUAGGGUUGUGGGUUGGCCGGCCAUGUCGGUCUCGUCCUCCUCCAUGUGCGGCGGGGACGCCGGGAUGAAGUGCGUGGUCUGGUUCCGGAGGGACCUCAGGGUGGAGGACAACCCGGCGCUGGCGGCGGCGGCGCGCACCGCCGGCGAGGUGGUGCCGGCGUACGUGUGGUCGCCGGAGGAGGACGGCCCCUACUUCCCCGGCCGCGUGUCGCGGUGGUGGCUCAGCCAGAGCCUCAAGCACCUGGAGGCCUCGCUCCACCGCCUCGGCGCCGCCAAGCUCGUCACCCGGAGGUCGCCCGACUCCGUCGCCGCGCUGCUCCAGCUCGUCCGCGACACCGGCGCCACGCACCUCUUCUUCAACCAUCUCUACGGUUUGCUUCCUUUUCGGUUCAAAAUAUAUGCCUUGCUUGUGUUUGCUCGUGCGCGUGUUUUCUAAACAACACAAGAAAUACUACUCUUGUCGGCCGACAUCUCCUGUCGAUGAUCCAAAUCUGUGGUUUAUUACCGCUAUUUCUCUUGAACUUCUUUAAAUUUGCUAGAUGAAACGAAGCAGCAUCUUUUAUAUUUGUUGUUCUUAUUUGUGAGCUUGCAUCUGAUUUGCUCAGGUUGAACCAGAUCUAUAUUAUACUACUACAGUAGUACUAUGUUAUCAUGUCAUAUCACAUCCCAAUUUAUUAUGCUUUCCGGUGAUAUGGCACAACUCAUGGCAAGUCAAUUGGAGUAGCGAGUCCCAAUUUAGCAAUCUUGCGUUUACGCUUCCAUACUAACUAGGUAUAAACUAUGAACAUUUCCAGCAACUCCGUCCUUAAUUGCCAACAGUUCUUGAUGCCACCAACCAACCAAAUCAUUUUUUCUUUUCGAGGGGUACACCAACCUACCAAUUCAACGAGGCAGUAACCGUAUCUAGCUGUAUUCUCCGUUUAGGCACUUGCACUUUCUGCUACAGUCUCAGUUAAUUGCUUGUGCUGAGACUCCUCAUCCAUUAUCUAACUCAAGAAUCAGUCAAUCACUGUGUCUUGGCCAUCUUUUCAGACCCGAUCUCGCUGGUCAGGGACCACCGUCUCAAGGAGAUGAUGACGGCAGAGGGCAUCGUCGUGCAGUCUUUCAAUGCCGACCUGCUGUAUGAUCCAUGGGAGGUCAACGAUGAUGAAGGCCAGCCGUUCAACAUGUUCAUGCCGUUCUGGAACAGGUGCCUCAGCAUGCCGUAUGACCCCCCCGCGCCACUGCUGCCCCCUAAGAGAAUCAACUCAGGUGACCUAUCCAUGUGCCCAUCAGACGAUCUGAUUUUUGAGGAUGAGUCGGAGAGGGGAAGCAAUGCCCUUCUGGCACGAGCAUGGUCACCAGGCUGGCAGAACGCGGAUAAGGCGCUAUCUGCCUUCCUGAACGGCCCUUUGAUUGACUACUCGGUGAACCGCAAGAAGGCAGACAGCGCAAACACCUCCCUCCUUUCACCUUACCUGCAUUUUGGCGAGCUGAGUGUGCGCAAGGUUUUCCACCUUGUUCGAGUGAAGCAACUCGUGUGGAGCAACGAGGGCAACCACGCAGCUGAGGAGAGCUGCACUCUGUUCCUCCGAUCUGUCGGUCUCCGGGAGUACUCACGGUAUCUUUGCUUCAACCAUCCAUGCAGCCAUGAGAAGCCCCUCCUUGCACACCUCAGGUUCUUCCCUUGGGUGGUCAACGAAAGCACCUUCAAAUUUUGGCGCCAGGGACGGACUGGUUACCCUCUUGUUGAUGCUGGCAUGAGGGAGUUGUGGGCAACUGGAUGGCUGCAUGAUCGGAUACGUGUGGUAGUUUCAAGUUUUUUCGUCAAGGUCCUUCAACUACCAUGGCGAUGGGGGAUGAAGUAUUUUUGGGACACUUUACUGGAUGCUGAUCUUGAGAGUGAUGCACUUGGUUGGCAGUACAUCUCUGGCUCGCUCCCUGAUAGCCGGGAGCUCGACCACAUUGACAACCCUCAGCUCGAAGGCUACAAGUUUGAUCCACAUGGGGAAUAUGUCCGACGGUGGCUUCCUGAACUUGCAAGGCUGCCAACAGAAUGGAUACACCACCCAUGGGAUGCACCUGCCUCUGUGCUGCAAGCUGCAGGAGUUGAGUUGGGCUCCAACUAUCCUCUCCCCAUAGUUGAGCUAGAUACAGCCCAGGUCAGGCUGCAAGAAGCCCUGUCAGAAAUGUGGCAGCUUGAGGCAGCAUCCAGGGCCGCAAUGGACACUGGAAUGGAGGAAGGCCUGGGCGACUCAUCGGAGGUGCCACCAAUCGAAUUUCCCCAAGAUUUGCAGAUGGAAGUCCAUUGGGAACCAGCCCGGGUAGCGCCCAAUGUGCUCACAACUGCACAGAGACGCCAGGAUCAGAUGGUGCCUACCAUGACAGCUUCACUCAACAGGGUUGAAACAGAAAUUUCUGCUGAUUUGGGGAAUAGCGUGGAUAGUAGAGCAGAGGUUCCGUUCCGCAUGCAUUUUGAGCCACGGACUGAGAGGGAGGAAGUGAUUCAAAGCACGGGCAAUGCAGCUGGAACUAAUGGCAUUCACCACCACAAUAACUUUCAGCAACCUCAGCACCGUAUGAGAAAUAUUUUUGCGCCAUCUGUGUCUGAAGCGUCAAGUAGCUGGACCGGGAGAGAUGGUGGCGUGGUCCCAGUUUGGUCGCCUCCUGCAGCAUCAGGCCAUUCCGAAACUUAUGGAGCCGAUGAAGCUGAUGUUUCUAGUAGGAGUUAUUUGGAUAUGCAUCCUCAGUCACACCGGAUAAUGAACUGGCAUCAGCUAUCACAGUCAUUGACAACAGGCAGGGACGUGGAGAACUCCGUGCAGCCAAAUUUCAUCGGUUAGAGUUUUCCGGACGCAGAGUGGAGACUCGCAGACCUGUGAUGUAUAGUCGGAGGAGCGUGCAAGGCAGGCGUCUUCGUGGAAGCGAUAAUAGCUAUGUAAAUCUAAUCCUCUAGAACCUGCAAGGAUAUAUGCGUUAUAUAUAGCUUUGCUAGAGUUGGUCGAAAAAGGAUGUGUAUUAUUGAUCAUCAGACAAUUGAGGGUUUCCUAGUGGGGGAUGCUUAUAUUUUUUUUGUAGGGUGUGUGUUAUUAUAUGUCUAUAGCUGCAAACUCCCCUGUGAUUGGCAAUCUUUGGUUACUCCUGGACGGUUUUGUGCAAUCAGAAUGUAUAUAUUGACAUUACCUGCUGCUGCUAUCACUAACUGUGUGAUGUGGAU
rnacentral:rRNA from 1 species